rnacentral:rRNA from 1 species
GUAGGCGGUUGUAUAAGUGAAUAGUGAAAUCUGGUGGCUCAACCAUACAGACUAUUGUUCAAACUGUACAACNUUGAGAGUGGUAGAGGUCACUUGGAAUUUCUUGUGUAGGAGUGAAAUCCGUAGAUAUAAGAAGGAACACCAAUGGCGUAGGCAGGUGACUGGACCAUUUCUGACGCUAAGGCACGAAAGCGUGGGGAGCGAACCGGAUUAGAUACCCGGGUAGUCCACGCCGUAAACGAUGGAUACUGGCUGUUGGAGGUAUCGACCCCUUCAGUAGCGAAGCUAACGCGUUAAGUAUCCCGCCUGUGGAGUACGGCCGCAAGGCUAAAACAUAAAGGAAUUGACGGGGACCCGCACAAGCGGUGGAUCGUGUUCUUUAAUUCGAUGCUAAACGAAGAACCUUACCAGGGCUUGACAUCCAGGGAAUUUUUGGGAAACCAAUUAGUGCCGUUUGGAACCCUGUGACAGGUGAUGCAUGGCCGUCGUCAGCUCGUGUCGUGAGAUGUUUGGUUAAGUCCAUCAACGAGCGCAACCCUUGUGUCUAGUUGUAUUUUUCUAGACAGACUGCUUCGGUAACGGAGAGGAAGGAGGGGNAUGAUGUCAGGUCAGUAUUUCCCCUUACGUCCUGGGCUAGAAACACGAUACAAUGGCUAGUACAAUGCGCAGCG